CUCUCUUCCUCCUCAGCAUCCCUGUGCUGAUGUACCUGCUGCUGCCGGCUGCCGCUGCGCCUGUUACUCUGUUUGACAGGCAGCGGCGGCCGGCGGGAUUCCCUGUAGAGCUGCUCAUCAUGCCUUCAGGUCUGCUCCUUCCCCUUCUGUGUCUGCUUCCGGAUCCUGCUCCCGUCCUGUCGCCAACACUACGGACCUUACCAGCAUAGGGGCAGCCUACUGUGUUCCCCUCUGCCUGCAGUCGUCUGGCUUCCGACGCGGAGGUUCAGUCCUGGCGGCAAGGCCCCCCUCCGCCGCUUGUCCCCUGCUCCUGCGGAUUCAGCUAUAUACCUGUCAGUGCCCAUGCGCCUAUUCUCCAUAGGCCGGCAGCUGGGUCCCUGUGUUGCUGAGCACAGCUGCUCUCCUGUCACCACCAGGCUGCCCUGACACUUCGGCAGCAGGUCUCCCAUCUGCAGUGACUACACCCUCCAGGUCUGCUACUGAGAUGCCAGUUCCUGCUAUAUCUGGGCCGAGCACAACGGCAAGCUGCUGCUGCUGGGAGCCCCGACCAGUCCCCUUCUGAGCCCCCCUCCCCUUCUCACACCCAUUCCCCCUCUCCUUCCCAGUCCCCUUCUCAGCCCCCCUCCCCUUCUCACACCCAUUCCCCCUCUCCUUCCCAGUCCCCUUCUGAGCCCCCCUCCCCUUCUCACACCCAAUCCUCCACUCCUUCCCAGUCCCUUUCUGAGCCCCGCUCCCCUUCUCACACCCAAUCCCCCUCUCCUUCCCAGUCCCCUUCUCAGCCCCCCUCCCCUUCUCACACCCAAUCCCCCUCUCCUUCCCAGUCCCCUUCUCAGCCCCCCUCCCCUUCUCACACCCAAUCCCCCUCUCCUUCCCAGUCCCCUUCUCAGCCCCCCUCCCCCUCUCUUUCCCAUUCCCCCUCUCUGUCCCCCUCCACCUCUGUAGGACCAAGCACCACUCCGUCCACCUCACCCUCUCUUUCCCAUUCCCCAUCUCUGCCCCCCUCCCCCUCUGUGACCCAACCCACCUCUCCGCCACCCUCCCCUUCUCAAUCUGACCCACCCUCUGUACCAAGCUCCCCCUUCCAGCCUCCGUCCACCAUCCAGCCUCCUACCCCCAUCCAGCCUCCUUCCCCCAUCCAGCCUCCUACCCCCAUCCAGCCUCCUUCCCCUAUCCAGCCGCCAUCCCCCAUCCAGCCGCCAGACCCCAUCCAGCCGCCAUCCCCACCUUCCGAAUGGGCAGCAGAGGCCCCGGAGGCACUUCUGGGAGGAGAACAAGUGGGACAGGACAAUGUUGCAGUUGGAGAUCCCACAACUUUUGCGGGCAUUCUGGCCAACAUGCGGCUAAAUCUUCUAGCCUUGCUGGAGAAUGUUGACCAGCUACAAA